CGGCGGACGGGUGAGUAACGCGUGGGUAACCUGCCUCAUACAGGGGGAUAACAGUUAGAAAUGACUGCUAAUACCGCAUAAGACCACGGUACCGCAUGGUGCAGUGGUAAAAACUCCGGUGGUGUGAGAUGGACCCGCGUCUGAUUAGGUAGUUGGUGGGGUAACGGCCUACCAAGCCGACGAUCAGUAGCCGACCUGAGAGGGUGACCGGCCACAUUGGGACUGAGACACGGCCCAG
rnacentral:rRNA from 1 species